UACGAAGGGGGCUAGCGUUGCUCGGAAUUACUGGGCGUAAAGGGCGCGUAGGCGGGUCGUUAAGUUUGGGGGGUGAAAGCCCAGGGCUCAACCCUGGAAUUGCCUUCAAUACUGGCGACCUUGAGUAUGGCAGAGGUGUGUGGAACUCCGAGUGUAGAGGUGAAAUCGUAGAUAUUCGGAAGAACACCAGUGGCGAAGGCGACACACUGGGCCAUUACUGACGCUGAGGCGCGAAAGCGUGGGGAGCAAACAGG
rnacentral:rRNA from 1 species